UACGGGGGGGGCAAGCGUUGUUCGGAAUUACUGGGCGUAAAGGGCUCGCCGGCGGCCGACUAAGUCAGACGUGAAAUCCCUUGGCUUAACCAAGGAAUGGCGUCUGAUACUGGACGGCUUGAAUCCGGGAGAGGGAUGUGGAAUUCCAGGUGUAGCGGUGAAAUGCGUAGAUAUCUGGAGGAACACCGGUGGCGAAGGCGGCAUCCUGGACCGGUAUUGACGCUGAGGAGCGAAAGCCAGGGGAGCAAACAGG
rnacentral:rRNA from 1 species